UUAGGCAACCUAAGAACGAAUGUGCAAGUAAAGAUGCAGUAAAAAUGAACUGCUUGAUGUCCAUCACUUUAUGUAUAUCAAGCACAGCAGCAAAACAAAAAUCCCAUGUAUUUAACUUUUUUUAGGGUCGUUUUUGUUUUUGUUUUUUUGUUUUUUUUUUUUUUUUUGAUACUUGCCUAACAUGCGUGUGCUGUAAAAAUAGUCAACGGGGAAGUAACUUGAGAUGAUGGCUCGCUUUGUUUAAUGUCUUAUGAAAUUUUCACGAACAAUCCAAGCAUAAUUGUUACGAACACGUGUAUUAAGUUCACAUAAGUGGAAUAAAAGUUUAUGAAUGGACUUUUCAACUACUUUCUCUACAGCUUUUCAUGUAAAUUAGUCUUUUGGUUCUGAAACUUCUCUAGAGGAGAUUGUACAUUUUUGGAAAAUUUUUCCUUAUUCCCUGUUGGCAGCUAAUGGGCUUUUACCAAGUUUAAGUAUGAAGUUUAUCAUAACAACAAAAUACUACUACUGUAACUACUACUGUUCCCAACCACCAUGUCCCAUAUUUCUCCUUGUGUUUUUUUUUUUUUUUUCCAGACGGGAGAUUGAUCGGGAAAAAAGUACCGUGUUCCAUUUAAAAUUUUGGUAUAUGGCAUUUUCUAACUUAGGAAGCCACAGUGUUCUUGUUCUUGGCCCAUCAUGACAUUGGGUAGCAUUAACUAAGUUUUGUGCUUCCAAAUCACUUUUGUUUUUAAGGACUUCUUGAUCUUGUUAUAGCCUGCCUUCAACUUUGAUCUUUAUUCUAUUUGUCAGGUGUACAGGAUUACCUUUUUUAGCCUUCUGUCUUGUCACCAACCAUUCCUACUUUGGUGGCCGUGUACUUGGACAAACGGCCGCAUGAUUUUUCUGGUCGGACGAGCGUGGUGC